CCGCCCGGGCUGCCUGCUCGCCUCUCUCGGUCGCUCUCUCCCGGGCUGCCCUGCUCCUUCCUUCCUGUCUCUGGCUCUCUCUCGCUGGGUCGCGCCCGGCUCUCCCCUGCUCCGGGAGGACGGCUCGGCCGCCGGCUGCCUUCAUUCCUCAGCUGUCCCCCUCGCUGCUCCGCUCCGCAGACUCCCUGCGGAAGCCGCUGGCGCUGCCGCAGCGCCUGGCCCGCACCGGCCUGCGGGGAGCCGGGCGCGGCGGCGGUGGCUGCUGCGAGGCGCCCGCUGCUUAUCGCGCUUUCCCCUCGGAAACGGCGUUGCGAGCCCCCAUUGGCAUCGGGGAGCGGUUACGAGUUUUGUAGGAAAUGGCAGUUUAGGAAAAAGCACUGCAUGACAACGAGCGGGGAGUUCCCGCCUCUCGGCGCCGCACCACUGGCUUCAGCACAGCUGGGAAAUGUCCGAACUGCUGAAAAAUCACUUUCCCUCCUGGUUUUCACAGAGAAAUGAGAACUCUCCACUAGUGUGCGGCUCUCCCGGGGCUGGACAGCUGGUUUCACUUAGACCGACUCUCCCAUGCUGAGGCAAACUGUAUCUGCCCAACUGACUGCAUAAAGAUUAUAAAGCAGUGGCAGGCUCAGGAGCCCAUAAC